rnacentral:rRNA from 1 species
GGGACACGUGGUAUCCUGUCUGAAUAUGGGGGGACCAUCCUCCAAGGCUAAAUACUCCUGACUGACCGAUAGUGAACCAGUACCGUGAGGGAAAGGCGAAAAGAACCCCGGCGAGGGGAGUGAAAAAGAACCUGAAACCGUGUACGUACAAGCAGUGGGAGCACGCUUAGGCGUGUGACUGCGUACCUUUUGUAUAAUGGGUCAGCGACUUAUAUUCUGUAGCAAGGUUAACCGAAUAGGGGAGCCGAAGGGAAACCGAGUCUUAACUGGGCGUUAAGUUGCAGGGUAUAGACCCGAAACCCGGUGAUCUAGCCAUGGGCAGGUUGAAGGUUGGGUAACACUAACUGGAGGACCGAACCGACUAAUGUUGAAAAAUUAGCGGAUGACUUGUGGCUGGGGGUGAAAGGCCAAUCAAACCGGGAGAUAGCUGGUUCUCCCCGAAAGCUAUUUAGGUAGCGCCUCGUGAAUUCAUCUCCGGGGGUAGAGCACUGUUUCGGCAAGGGGGUCAUCCCGACUUACCAACCCGAUGCAAACUGCGAAUACCGGAGAAUGUUAUCACGGGAGACACACGGCGGGUGCUAACGUCCGUCGUGAAGAGGGAAACAACCCAGACCGCCAGCUAAGGUCCCAAAGUCAUGGUUAAGUGGGAAACGAUGUGGGAAGGCCCAGACAGCCAGGAUGUUGGCUUAGAAGCAGCCAUCAUUUAAAGAAAGCGUAAUAGCUCACUGGUCGAGUCGGCCUGCGCGGAAGAUGUAACGGGGCUAAACCAUGCACCGAAGCUGCGGCAGCGACACUAUGUGUUGUUGGGUAGGGGAGCGUUCUGUAAGCCUGUGAAGGUGUGCUGUGAGGCAUGCUGGAGGUAUCAGAAGUGCGAAUGCUGACAUAAGUAACGAUAAAGCGGGUGAAAAGCCCGCUCGCCGGAAGACCAAGGGUUCCUGUCCAACGUUAAUCGGGGCAGGGUGAGUCGACCCCUAAGGCGAGGCCGAAAGGCGUAGUCGAUGGGAAACAGGUUAAUAUUCCUGUACUUGGUGUUACUGCGAAGGGGGGACGGAGAAGGCUAUGUUGGCCGGGCGACGGUUGUCCCGGUUUAAGCGUGUAGGCUGGUUUUCCAGGCAAAUCCGGAAAAUCAAGGCUGAGGCGUGAUGACGAGGCACUACGGUGCUGAAGCAACAAAUGCCCUGCUUCCAGGAAAAGCCUCUAAGCAUCAGGUAACAUCAAAUCGUACCCCAAACCGACACAGGUGGUCAGGUAGAGAAUACCAAGGCGCUUGAGAGAACUCGGGUGAAGGAACUAGGCAAAAUGGUGCCGUAACUUCGGGAGAAGGCACGCUGAUAUGUAGGUGAAGUCCCUCGCGGAUGGAGCUGAAAUCAGUCGAAGAUACCAGCUGGCUGCAACUGUUUAUUAAAAACACAGCACUGUGCAAACACGAAAGUGGACGUAUACGGUGUGACGCCUGCCCGGUGCCGGAAGGUUAAUUGAUGGGGUCAGCGCAAGCGAAGCUCUUGAUCGAAGCCCCGGUAAACGGCGGCCGUAACUAUAACGGUCCUAAGGUAGCGAAAUUCCUUGUCGGGUAAGUUCCGACCUGCACGAAUGGCGUAAUGAUGGCCAGGCUGUCUCCACCCGAGACUCAGUGAAAUUGAACUCGCUGUGAAGAUGCAGUGUACCCGCGGCAAGACGGAAAGACCCCGUGAACCUUUACUAUAGCUUGACACUGAACAUUGAGCCUUGAUGUGUAGGAUAGGUGGGAGGCUUUGAAGUGUGGACGCCAGUCUGCAUGGAGCCGACCUUGAAAUACCACCCUUUAAUGUUUGAUGUUCUAACGUUGACCCGU